rnacentral:rRNA from 1 species
CUACGGGAGGCAGCAGUGGGGAAUAUUGGACAAUGGGCGCAAGCCUGAUCCAGCCAUACCGCGUGGGUGAAGAAGGCCUUCGGGUUGUAAAGCCCUUUUGUUGGGAAAGAAAUCCUGUCGGUUAAUAACCGGUAGGGAUGACGGUACCCAAAGAAUAAGCACCGGCUAACUUCGUGCCAGCAGCCGCGGUAAUACGAAGGGUGCAAGCGUUACUCGGAAUUACUGGGCGUAAAGCGUGCGUAGGUGGUUGUUUAAGUCUGCUGUGAAAGCCCUGGGCUCAACCUGGGAAUUGCAGUGGAUACUGGGCGACUAGAGUGUGGUAGAGGAUAGUGGAAUUUCCGGUGUAGCAGUGAAAUGCGUAGAGAUCGGAAGGAACAUCUGUGGCGAAGGCGACUAUCUGGGCCAACACUGACACUGAGGCACGAAAGCGUGGGGAGCAAACAGGAUUAGAUACCCUGGUAGUCCACGCCCUAAACGAUGCGAACUGGAUGUUGGGCACAACUUGGUGCCCAGUAUCGAAGCUAACGCGUUAAGUUCGCCGCCUGGGGAGUACGGUCGCAAGACUGAAACUCAAAGGAAUUGAC